CCUACGGGAGGCAGCAGUGGGGAAUUGUUCGCAAUGGGCGAAAGCCUGACGACGCAACGCCGCGUGGAGGAUGAAGGUCUUCGGAUUGUAAACUCCUGUUGCUCGGGACGAAUAGCUUCAACCUAAUACGUUGAGGUCUGACGGUACCGAGUGAGGAAGCCCCGGCUAACUCUGUGCCAGCAGCCGCGGUAAUACAGAGGGGGCAAGCGUUGUUCGGAAUUACUGGGCGUAAAGGGCGCGUAGGCGGCCCGCUAAGUCGAACGUGAAAUCCCCGGGCUCAACCCGGGAACUGCGUCCGAUACUGGUGGGCUUGAAUCCGGGAGAGGGAUGUGGAAUUCCAGGUGUAGCGGUGAAAUGCGUAGAUAUCUGGAGGAACACCGGUGGCGAAGGCGGCAUCCUGGACCGGCAUUGACGCUGAGGCGCGAAAGCCAGGGGAGCAAACGGGGAUUAGAUACCCCGGUAGUCCUGGCCCUAAACGAUGAUGNUGUGUGGCGGUAGUCGAUCCUCGCGUCGCGACGCGUACGACAUAAGACAUCCGUCCGUCGGGAGGUACGGUCGCGAGGCGUGAACGUACGAAGUAGAAGUUAGACGGCGUGAGACGUGCCGACGGACGACGACGAGGGAGGUUAGG
rnacentral:rRNA from 1 species